CCUACGGGGGGCAGCAGUGGGGAAUAUUGCACAAUGGGCGGAAGCCUGAUGCAGCGACGCCGCGUGGGGGAUGACGGCCUUCGGGUUGUAAACUCCUUUCACCAUCGACGAAGGGUUUCUGACGGUAGAUGGAGAAGAAGCACCGGCUAACUACGUGCCAGCAGCCGCGGUAAUACGUAGGGUGCGAGCGUUGUCCGGAAUUACUGGGCGUAAAGAGCUCGUAGGUGGUUUGUCGCGUCGUCUGUGAAAUUCCGGGGCUUAACUCCGGGCGUGCAGGCGAUACGGGCAUAACUUGAGUACUGUAGGGGAGACUGGAAUUCCUGGUGUAGCGGUGAAAUGCGCAGAUAUCAGGAGGAACACCGGUGGCGAAGGCGGGUCUCUGGGCAGUAACUGACGCUGAGGAGCGAAAGCAUGGGGAGCGAACAGGAUUAGAUACCCUA
rnacentral:rRNA from 1 species